rnacentral:rRNA from 1 species
UACGAAGGGGGCUAGCGUUGCUCGGAAUCACUGGGCGUAAAGGGUGCGUAGGCGGGUCUUUAAGUCAGGGGUGAAAUCCUGGAGCUCAACUCCAGAACUGCCUUUGAUACUGAAGAUCUUGAGUUCGGAGAGGAGGUAGAGUGAACUGCGAGUGUAGAGGUGAAAUUCGUAGAUAUUCGCAAGAACACCAGUGGCGAAGGCGGCUCACUGGCCCGAUACUGACGCUGAGGCACGAAAGCGUGGGGAGCAAACAGG